GCUUGAGGCGUCUGUUGCUCAUGGACGUCAAAAAGGGUCCUUUGAUGACUGGGCGCUUACCUCACCAGAAUGAGAUGAACUUCAAAUGCUAAAAGGAUGGCCUUUUCAAACCUGUGGGUAGCAAGGAAGGCUGAGCUUUACACCUUUUCACUCUCCUAAAGUUCUAAAUAACUGAGCCUGCCUAAAACCAUCGUGAUGUAUUUUUCCUAAGAGUUGAAAACGGCCUAAAGAAUUGAUGAUGCAGGUGAAGAAGGAGAAGACGAUAUAGUCGUAGUCUAUCGAGUUGGUGUCCCCUGUGAAAGGGUCAUUCGAUGCCGGGGGAUCUCCACUCACAAGUUGAGAACAGCUUCUACAUAGGCUGAGAAUAUCUUCAACAUUUUUCAGAGUUGAUCAGGAUUUUUAUUUUUAUUGUCAGUGCUAUGAUAAAUACUUAGUGCAAAGUGACAGAAGUAUGUUUGGGACUAUUUCCAAUAUUGUUUGAAAUUUUGUCCUGAUUCCAACACAAAAUUGAACAGUUUUUAUGAGGCUUAAGCCAGCAACUCAAGCAGUAAUUUUGAAAAUCAAGUAUUCUAACAUAAUGCAAUCAAAGCCAUGCUAAUUUGAUACAUGCUGAGCAAUGGUGGAUGGAAAUAUUAUUAUAAAAGCCCUUGCUUUGUGUAGUUAAGCCAUUAAGUUUCCAAAGACGAGAAAAUGUUUCAUGUACAAUAAAGGCACUGCAACUCAUACCACAGCCUGCCCUCACCACCUCGGGAUGCUUUCAGAUGCUUCGAUUUUCACCCUCUAAUGGAUACAGUACACCAACCAAAGAAAUGUUCUGUCUUGCGUUUCUUUGUAAUGAAAAGCCAAUCACCUUCAUCUGAAAGUUUUCUCAUUACUCAGUGUUUUCCCAUUUGUAUAGUGUGUUGUUGGUAUUUUUCUUAUUGAUUUGUGUUAGUGCAUUGCAUACUGGGGAAAUAAAUCUUAUGUUGAUUAUAUGUUGUGAGUGGUUUUCCCACUUUUAUGGUUCAUCUCUUCACUCAUAAUAUCUUGAUGGGAAAAAAUUCCUAAUGAAACCAAUUUAUUGGUCUUUUCCUUCAUUAGUAAUACCUGUUUCCUAUUUCAGAGAUCUCUUCUUGCCCUUCUACAUUAAGACUUUUAAUUUUUUUCUAAAAUUUUAGUAUUUUUCUUUGCUCUAGAAAUUUACUUUCUUAAAUUAGAGAAAAGGUGAGCACUGAAGUUCUUCACUCCUCUCCUUGGGGAGAAUGAACAGUAGAAGAGGUGACGUGCUCCGCUCUGCAGUACUUUGUUAGGGUUUCAUUUUGAGCCUAUGACAAGAAGACACAUCACAGAAAGAAUGUGUGGUAGAAGAAUCUGCUUACAUUGCCUCGUGGUAGAAGCAAGCAAAAAAGAGAGGAAGACAGAACUGGACUCCCAGUAUCUUCUUCAUGUGCAGAGCCCAAAAGACCUGACUUCCUUCACUAGGACUCUCUUCAGAAAGGCUCCACUGCCUCCCAACAGCAGUCUGUCCAGCAAGCUUAAACGCAUGCGCCUUGGGGGACACGCAUAACCAUGACAUUUGCUUGUAAACUGGAAAAGUAAUGUAUGUGUGAAAUACUUCUCACUUUUCUUUUCUGUUGAUAUAUUAUCCUUUUGUAUAUUGCUGGAUUUGAUAUGCUAUUCUGCUUCAGAUGUAGAGAGCUUUAACAAAUGGUGUGGACCUGUAAUUGCUUGUCUGUUAAGGUCUUUCUCUGCUUUUAGUAUCAAGGGCAGCCUAGCUAACUUCAUAAAAAGAGUUACAGAAUAUACUUGCCUUUCUGUGGUCAGUUAUUAUUUUUGCCUAUUAUUUGUCUUAUCUUUGGAAUCAGGUUUUCAAAAACCUCACCCCACCCCAAAAAAAUAUCCAAUUGGCCUUUCAUUCAACUUUCUUUGUGUAUAUUCAUUUCCUUUCAUGUAAGCCUUUCUGGAACAUGGUUUGUGUCUACAAUGUUCCCAUAUAAGCCUCUUAAUCUCCAAAUUUGUUCUCAUUUUCAUUAUAUUCCAUACCUUGUAAAAGGCAGGAUUCUAAAAGUAUUCUUGUAAGAUUCUCACCUCUGGUUAGUCAAUAAAAUAAUAAUCCAAGUAUUGCUAUCAAGGAAAUCUGCAGAAGAAAUUGAAGCUAUAGACCUUUUAGAGGGGAAAAUUCUCCUGGACAAUCUGAGUAGAGCCAAUUGAACUACUUCCCUGGCAAAAAGAGAAGUUUAGCUGGAGUCCGAGAGAUAUGGCAGAAGAGGAAAAAAUGAGAUAGGAAGUAAUCAGAGGUAGUCAAAUCGUAAGAAGGAUUUGGUGCUUCAUCUGUGAUUUUUGAAAACGGGAAGGGCCCGCAGCCAAGGAGUGCAGUUACCUACCCUUCAGAGGCUCGCCUAACAGCUGGCAAGUAGGAGCUCAGCCCUGCCAAGGGCAGAAUUAAACUCAAACUCCAAGGAAACCUGGAAACAUUCUUCUCAGACAGCAGAAGGAGCACACCCUGCUGAUAUUCAAAUUCUGUGAAACCUAAAACAGAACAGGCUAAGCUACACUGUCUGCAUUCUUGACCUAUAGAACAAUAUGAUGAUGUUACCCAAGGUAUAAAAUGUAUGGCUGGGGCUAGCUAGAUGGUUCAGUGAGUAAAGUCACUAGAUAGCAAGACUGACUUCCUGAGUUUGAUCCAGUUACAUGGUAGAGGAAGGGAAACAACCCAUACAGAUUAUCUUCUGACCUCCACACAUGUGCCAUGGCAUAGAGAUGUGUUCGAACAUACUAUUUAAAAAAUUUUUAAACAUAGCAAUGUGUUAACUGCAGCAAAAAGAAAAACCUUUCUUACAAGCAAAGUAUCUUUGAUAGUUCAUCAGAGAGACUUUUCUGUUCAGUGACAUCUGCAAAGUCACACUGUGGUAUGCAUUGUUUGCCUAUUUGGGUUCAUCCAUCACACUCUUCUGAAGUAAACAGUCAUUCUAGGUGGGUCGAGGUAAGUGUCCUGUGCACCUUUAGAAUGCCUACACACUAAAGUUGAAUGAAAUCUAUAAAUGAGUGAACUGUGGAGAUGUGCUCAGGGGCAGGGUACAUGUAGGCAGAGAGAUGGAGAGAAGUGUGUCAGGAACCUGAACUGAGGAGCCCAGAGCAGUCCAGAGAAGCCACCACCCCCACCACAGUCAGGGGAGCAACAGUACGGGAAGUUAAGUAUGCUGAACUUGGAUGGGGGGAAGCCAAGAUCCAGCCAGACGCUAACACCCAGUAACCAAGGUAAACACAAGUGUGGACAAGCUUGCCACACCCCUCAUAGUCUCAGCCACAGAAAGCCCAGAAUGGGAGUAUGAUUCCCAGCACACCAGAGACAAAGUUGUUAAGGACAGGCAAGAGUCUCACACUGGGGGAUUGCUGUAAAAGUGGAGCUCUGUGUAGUAAGCUGGAGAAGAAUUCUGACUUGAAUAACUGAGGUUAACAGCCCUCUUCUUCCUACAGGACCGUGCUACAAAUGAGAUGGGAGAAACCACAUUCACCCCUGCUACCAGAAAGAGCGAUACUAAAAUAGCUUCAAUUUCAUUUGUUUUUUUUUUUUUAAUUUUAGUUUAGUUUACAAAGUAGCAGGUUUCUUUAUGGUAUUUUCUUAACAUGUUUUUUGGUUGUUACACACACACACACACACACACACACACACACACACACACACCUUCCCAUUCCACCACUAUCUGCUCUAACCUUCCCUCCACUAUGCCUCUUUAUAUCACAUAUUCUGUUCCCCUCCCGCCUCCUGCCUUAAAGCCUACUCCAUGCCCCCUUCUAGCUUCCUGGCCACUACCCCACUAACCCCAUACCUAAAUACACACAUUCACACAUUUGAUUUCAUUUCGUUUUAGAUUGUAACUCAUCUGAAAAGACUUUUCUGACCGCUUUCCCUGUAUAUGCACUACUUUACCUUGUAGCUCUCUUCCCUCUAACCACUCCCUUUGGGUGCUCUUUUAUGACCUUUUCCCCGUGUCUCCACCAUUUUCCUUCAUCGUCCUCUUUCCUCUAACCAUGCAAUUUCCAGGUUGCUCAUUUGCUCCCUC